rnacentral:rRNA from 1 species
AUUGAACGCUGGCGGCAUGCUUUACACAUGCAAGUCGAACGGCAGCGCGGGCUUCGGCCUGGCGGCGAGUGGCGAACGGGUGAGUAAUGCAUCGGAACGUGCCCAGUAGUGGGGGAUAGCCCGGCGAAAGCCGGAUUAAUACCGCAUACGACCUGAGGGUGAAAGCGGGGGACCGAAAGGCCUCGCGCUAUUGGAGCGGCCGAUGUCGGAUUAGCUAGUUGGUGGGGUAAAGGCUUACCAAGGCGACGAUCCGUAGCUGGUCUGAGAGGACGACCAGCCACACUGGGACUGAGACACGGCCCAGACUCCUACGGGAGGCAGCAGUGGGGAAUUUUGGACAAUGGGGGCAACCCUGAUCCAGCCAUGCCGCGUGCGGGAAGAAGGCCUUCGGGUUGUAAACCGCUUUUGUUCGGGAAGAAAUCCUCUGGGCUAACACCCCGGGGGGAUGACGGUACCGGAAGAAUAAGCACCGGCUAACUACGUG